rnacentral:rRNA from 1 species
GAGNANUGCCUGGGAACAUGCCUUAGUGUGGGGGAUAACCAUUGGAAACGAUGGCUAAUACCGCAUAACGUCUACGGACCAAAGAGGGGGAUCUUCGGACCUCUCGCGCUAAGAUUGGCCCAGGUGGGAUUAGCUAGUAGGUGGGGUAAAGGCUCACCUAGGCGACGAUCCCUAGCUGGUCUGAGAGGAUGAUCAGCCACACUGGAACUGAGACACGGUCCAGACUCCUACGGGAGGCAGCAGUGGGGAAUAUUGCACAAUGGGGGAAACCCUGAUGCAGCCAUGCCGCGUGUGUGAAGAAGGCCUUCGGGUUGUAAAGCACUUUCAGUUGUGAGGAAGGUUCAUGCGUUAAUAGCGUAUGGAUUUGACGUUAGCAACAGAAGAAGCACCGGCUAACUCCGUGCCAGCAGCCGCGGUAAUACGGAGGGUGCGAGCGUUAAUCGGAAUUACUGGGCGUAAAGCGCAUGCAGGCGGCUUGUUAAGCCAGAUGUGAAAGCCCGGGGCUUAACCUCGGAAUAGCAUUUGGAACUGGCAGGCUAGAGUCUUGUAGAGGGGGGUAGAAUUUCAGGUGUANCGGUGAANUGCGUAGAGAUCUGANGGAAUACCGGUGGCGAAGGCGGCCCNCCUGGACANAGACUGACGCUCAGAUGCGAAAGCGU